rnacentral:rRNA from 1 species
ACACUGACGUCGCGACGCAUAUCAAUAAGCGGAGGAAAAGAAACUAACAAGGAUUCCCUUAGUAACGGCGAGUGAAGCGGGAAGAGCUCAAAUUUGAAAUCUUCAAGGUUCUACCUUGACGAAUUGUAGUUUAAAGAAGUGUUUUCUGUUAGUGGAGUUGGCAAAAGUUCUUUGGAAUAGGACAUCAUAGAGGGUGAGAAUCCCGUAUUUGGUCAUUCCUUCUAGCUUUGUGAUACACUUUCAAAGAGUCGGAUUGUUUGGGAAUGCAGUCCAAAAUGGGUGGUAAAUUUCAUCUAAAGCUAAAUAUUGGCGAGAGACCGAUAGCGAACAAGUACCGUGAGGGAAAGAUGAAAAGAACUUUGAAAAGAGAGUUAAACAGUACGUGAAAUUGUCAAAAGGGAAGCGUUUGACACCAGUGUUGUUUUUCCGAAAAUCAAUUAUAAAUGUUUUGUUUCUGAGGAGUGAUGACUUCAUCGGCUUCCUUCUCUCUUCACGAAACUUUUGUAAUGCACUUUUCGGUUAACAAGUCAACAUCAAUUUCUUUUGUUGUAAAAGAGUAUUCGGAAGGUGGCUUUCUUUUCGGAGAAAGUGUUUAUAGCCCUAUACUUCUACAAUCGGAGAGAUUGAGGUCUGCAGCGUAGAUCCUUCGGGGUUAGAUACAUUUGUGCUAAGUUGUAGCUUUUCAUAGACAACUUGUUGACUAUGUUUAGUCAUGCGGCUUACUCGCUUAUGCUAUUUUACCUACGCUUAGGAUGUUGAGUCGUAGAGCACGCAG